rnacentral:lncRNA from 1 species
GUGGUUUUCAUCGUCUAAACCAUGUCAAAUCUGAUGCAAAAUUUGCUCGAUCGGACAAAAAUCCGACGAAAAGCAUGACUUUUGGCCAAAUGUCUAUGUAACCACCACUGACGGUUUUUGGUACAUAAUGAAUGAUUUUUGGUCUACAGAAUUCAAUGUUUACGCCAGACGGCCGUUUAGAUGUCACUAAGGAAAGACUGUGGUGCUCUUUAACAAUUUCUGCGCAAACGGUGCUUUACUGAAAUUGCUCCAAAGGUUCUACCGUGACCACCAUUGAACUCUCGUGACAUUUGGACAGCCAUCAGAGUCGAUAUCGGAUAUGUUAAAGACCAAAUGUAUCCGUCUUGCUGAGCGUUUCUUACGUUUUGUACCCCGGGAUGUGGCUUAUCAUUAAAUGAUCCAUUUUGGUUGAAUUUGUGGAUGAUUUGUGUUAUUGUAGAGUCUACAACUUCAGUCUUCUCGUAAUUGUAUGCUGUGAAAGGCUUCAUUGGAUCAUGCCCAAAACUGCAUGUCCCUGGUUGUCAGAAAGUCCUGGCAUUUACUCAGAUGUUUAUUGCAGUUUCUUAACAAUAAGGGCGGGAAAAUUCAUGACAUUAGCCAAGCUUUAAAUGACAAAAUCGUGAAAACGGUGAGUAUGUUGAAAAGCGGUGAACUCGGUGUAUGUCCGUUCAAAAUAACCCUUAGUUCGCAUUUGUUCCAAAAAUCACUCAACCGUAAAAUCGUCGACAAUUGUCUUAAAAGUCAUUUUCAACCAACUAUACAAAGUUCUAAUAUAAAUAAAAUAAAAAUUUUAAGAUUUUUUUCAAAAACAAAAGUGUUUCAUU